rfam:Cronobacter sp. DJ34 Bact_Abyss2_96, whole genome shotgun sequence.
AUUACCCAUCGUGAUGUGGUUAUUACAAUCAUAACUAUUUGAUUGGAAGGGCAAUAACUUAUUGCCCUUUUUAUUUU